rnacentral:sRNA from 1 species
UAAUGAUGCCCUCCUCCAAAAUGACUGUAAGAGCCCUUGCCAGAGGUUUCCUGAACGGUCAGCAGGACCUUGACCUUGAAAGCAGAAGUAUGUGUGCUUGCAUGAGCGUGUAUGUUUGCGCGCGCAUGUGUGUGUGGCAGUGAAGACAGGAGAAUCUGUGUGUGGAUUCAUCAUCCCAGUCUCUGCUUGAAGGGAAAUUGCUGGCACUUCAGGAUUGAGAAACACCAUGAAGAAUGUGAGGGCCUUCUCUGUGAUGCUUCUCUACCUCCCUUCACAAGGAAUUAUGGGAAACUCACCAUGACCCUGGACCUGCACGAGGAGGAAAACAGACAGCUGCAUACUUCAUCUUUUGCUCCAAGCCCAAGGUUGAGCAGAACUGUCAAGACCUGUUGAAAAAAAUGUUCCUUACUUUGUGAGGGUUGGGAAACUUCUCACAAAGCUUUUCUAUGAAGAUGACUAUGACAAAUGGAGACAAAAGGCUGGAAAAUGAGGCACCAAGGUGAGGUUUCUGUGAAAGGUUAGGAUUUCUCAGCUGUUACAAGCAUCAGCGGAAAGAGAAGCAGGUGGCCAACCCCUGCUUUCUACUCACAAACAUUUUAAGUGGGUCAUAACUCCCUGUCUGUGAGGAGGUCCUGUAGUGUUUCUAGCGCAUACAGCUUAGUGUGCCAGCACCAACUCUCCUAACCAAAUGGGAACACCACUUUGCUAGCGACUGCCAGUGUAGGCUUUGGAGGCAGGAGACUGGUUGAGUCUUUAACUGAAAUAACUGCUGGAGAGGCUGCCUGGGCUUGAUUGACAUGAGGUUAUCAAUGGAAAGUGUCUCACGUUGUUUCUGAUAACCAAGGCCCAGCAUGAAGGAGUUAUCUUUGCCAGACCUGCAAGGUGGGAAGUCUUGGCAACAGCUCUGGGCGAAACCAAGAACAAGAUGACGCCAAGAUGUUGGUUUCUCUUGAGGGGGUGCAUAUCAGAGAUGCGUGGCCUUUGGGUGGUGUUUGACAUAAAAGGAAAAGAAGAACUGUGUCCUACUCAGAGGACAUGGAAAGGAUGAAGAAGGAGGCGGUCCCAUCUGUUUCCACAUUGAGGUAGUUGUGGGACUCAAACUCAGGUCUUCAGGCUUGACAGCAAGCGCCUUUACCAGUUGAGCUAUUUCAGGUCCUGGGUUUUUACUCAUUACCGCCCUAGGAAACCACAUGUACCCAGCCUCUAGUUUCCCAUGUAGCUUUACCAUUCUACCAAGAACCCUCGUGGUAGAGUUUUAGAUCACAUAACAGAGCUGCAUGCUCCAUUACUUCCAUAAUGAUGCCCUCCUCCAAAAUGACUGUAAGAGCCCUUGCCAGAGGUUUCCUGAACGGUCAGCAGGACCUUGACCUUGAAAGCAGAAGUAUGUGUGCUUGCAUGAGCGUGUAUGUUUGCGCGCGCAUGUGUGUGUGGCAGUGAAGACAGGAGAAUCUGUGUGUGGAUUCAUCAUCCCAGUCUCUGCUUGAAGGGAAAUUGCUGGCACUUCAGGAUUGAGAAACACCAUGAAGAAUGUGAGGGCCUUCUCUGUGAUGCUUCUCUACCUCCCUUCACAAGGAAUUAUGGGAAACUCACCAUGACCCUGGACCUGCACGAGGAGGAAAACAGACAGCUGCAUACUUCAUCUUUUGCUCCAAGCCCAAGGUUGAGCAGAACUGUCAAGACCUGUUGAAAAAAAUGUUCCUUACUUUGUGAGGGUUGGGAAACUUCUCACAAAGCUUUUCUAUGAAGAUGACUAUGACAAAUGGAGACAAAAGGCUGGAAAAUGAGGCACCAAGGUGAGGUUUCUGUGAAAGGUUAGGAUUUCUCAGCUGUUACAAGCAUCAGCGGAAAGAGAAGCAGGUGGCCAACCCCUGCUUUCUACUCACAAACAUUUUAAGUGGGUCAUAACUCCCUGUCUGUGAGGAGGUCCUGUAGUGUUUCUAGCGCAUACAGCUUAGUGUGCCAGCACCAACUCUCCUAACCAAAUGGGAACACCACUUUGCUAGCGACUGCCAGUGUAGGCUUUGGAGGCAGGAGACUGGUUGAGUCUUUAACUGAAAUAACUGCUGGAGAGGCUGCCUGGGCUUGAUUGACAUGAGGUUAUCAAUGGAAAGUGUCUCACGUUGUUUCUGAUAACCAAGGCCCAGCAUGAAGGAGUUAUCUUUGCCAGACCUGCAAGGUGGGAAGUCUUGGCAACAGCUCUGGGCGAAACCAAGAACAAGAUGACGCCAAGAUGUUGGUUUCUCUUGAGGGGGUGCAUAUCAGAGAUGCGUGGCCUUUGGGUGGUGUUUGACAUAAAAGGAAAAGAAGAACUGUGUCCUACUCAGAGGACAUGGAAAGGAUGAAGAAGGAGGCGGUCCCAUACAGAAUAACAAUAGACACAAGAAGGCUGGGCUUGUCGGUUCACACCUGGAACCGCAGAGGAGCAGAUCGAGAAACGGAACAGCAAAGACCGGAGUUUUAGAAAAUGAAAAGACUGCAGCUUGUGUCUAGUUGGCCCUAACAAGACAGCUGUGAUGUCAGGCUGCUAAGAGUGGAAGAGUCCUGGCAAAGACAAAAUGGAAUAGUCCACGAGAAGCAUUCUCUCAGCACAGCGGCAAUCAGGCUUCAUAAGAGAAAAAGCAGCAAGGGUUUCUAGGUACAGGCCAUGAGACGAGGGUGUGAGAUUCCUGGCUUCUGACGUUUCCUGUGCUCCUUCCUUGAUCAUUGCUUCAGGCACGGGUGCUUCAUCAGAGUCCUUCCAUCUCUUUCCAGCUGUGAUGGGCAAGGAGGCCUCGCACAGCUGCUCUUGCUGGGCGAGAGUCCACAAUUAAAGGCAUCACUGCUCCCA